rnacentral:rRNA from 1 species
GACGAACGCUGGCGGCGUGCCUAACACAUGCAAGUCGAACGGAGUUAUUCCUUUCGGGGGAUAACUUAGUGGCGAACGGGUGAGUAACGCGUGAGGAACCUACCUCUCAGUGGGGGACAACAGUUGGAAACGACUGCUAAUACCGCAUAAUGUAGCGAGAUCGCAUGAUCAUGCUACCAAAGCUUUAUGUGCUGAGAGAUGGCCUCGCGUCUGAUUAGCUAGUUGGCGGGGUAACGGCCCACCAAGGCGACGAUCAGUAGCCGGACUGAGAGGUUGAACGGCCACAUUGGGACUGAGAUACGGCCCAG